rnacentral:rRNA from 1 species
UUUGGAGGGCAAUAUCUGGGUGCCAGCAGCCGCGGUAAUUCCAGCUCCAAUAGCGUAUAUUAAAGUUGUUGCAGUUAAAAAGCUCGUAGUUGAAUUUCGGGGAUCAAAUUGUCGGUCGUGCCUCGGUACGUACUGGCGUUAUUGGUUCCUCCCUUCUGAAGAACCGCUGAUGUCAUUAAUUUGGUGUCGCGGGGAAUCAGGACUGUUACUUUGAAAAAAUUAGAGUU